rnacentral:rRNA from 1 species
GUUUACGGCCAUACUACCCUGAACACACCUGAUCUCGUCUGAUCUCGGAAGCUAAGCAGGGUCAGGCCUGGUUAGUACUGGAUGGGAGAAUUGAUUAAUAUUUCUCGGAUGAUUAGUGAUGGUGAAUG